UACGAAGGGGGCUAGCGUUGCUCGGAAUCACUGGGCGUAAAGCGCACGUAGGCGGAUUGCUAAGUCAGGGGUGAAAUCCUGGAGCUCAACUCCAGAACUGCCUUUGAUACUGGCGAUCUUGAGUCCGGGAGAGGUGAGUGGAACUGCGAGUGUAGAGGUGAAAUUCGUAGAUAUUCGCAAGAACACCAGUGGCGAAGGCGGCUCACUGGCCCGGUACUGACGCUGAGGAGCGAAAGCGUGGGGAGCGAACAGG
rnacentral:rRNA from 1 species